rnacentral:rRNA from 1 species
CAGUCGCCACGGGAAUACGGAGGGUGCAAGCGUUAAUCGGAAUUACUGGGCGUAAAGCGCACGCAGGCGGUCUGACAAGUCAGAUGUGAAAUCCCCGGGCUUAACCUGGGAACUGCAUUUGAAACUGUCAGGCUGGAGUCUUGUAGAGGGGGGUGGAAUUCCAGGUGUAGCGGUGAAAUGCGUAGAGAUCUGGAGGAAUACCGGUGGCGAAGGCGGCCCCCUGGACAAAGACUGACGCUCAGGUGCGAAAGCGUGGGGAGCAAACAGGAUUAGAUACCCGUGUAGUCCCUGUCUCUUAUAC